UUCAUUUUGUAAAUUCAACUCAGAUUAAAUCAAUGUUAACUUGGCCACAUGGCCGCAGUAGCCUACAGACAUACAGCAAUACAUGGAAGUGUCCCUCAGUGGACAAAGUAAUAAUAAUGAUACUUUUCAGAGGAUAAAGAAAUUAUUCUCUUAAUAUCUGGUGACUUGUGUUACUCCACCGUUUGUUUUAUGUCCGUUCUUAAGAUUGUUUGUUAGCAUUAUGCUGUUAGAAAGCUGUUUUAAAUACACAACUUUGCUUUGAUUGUUGGAAAGUGAACUUCAUCAAUGUGCAGUUCAAUGUCUCUUUUUUGAAGCAAUUUUCACUGCUGCUUGUAUUAAAGUGCUGUUGGAUUGAAUUCACUGCCACCAUACAGUGAUCAUAUGUGAAAUGUUUACUGGCAAGUCAAGGUAAAUCUUGGAAAAACAAUCUCAAGGCAUCGCCGUAGUCAUUAUAGAGUAGGUAAUUAGUGAUGUGUGACAAAACUGGCCAUAGUUGAGCCUUGGUGGCUUGAUAUUUGGCCUUGAAUAUUUCACUCAGCGCUCCACUUUUCUACACCCAAUUAGGCGGCCAAGUUGACGUACAUUUAGCAAUUGUUCAGCUGUCACUCGUGAAUCCACGCCUCGCUCAUCUAGUACCACAACCCCCACGCCAGAUUCUGGUCAAAAGUGUGCAACUUGAAAAAAAGAUUUGAACCUGGAAAAAAAACCAUCAGAAUCUCAAAAAGCAAGAUUUGAACCUGGAAAAAAACCCAUCAGAAUCUCAAAAAGCAAGAGUUGAACCUGAAAACAUAGGUGUAAAUCUAAAAAUAGAAACAUGUAACUGAAAACAAGACCUCAAAUCUUGAUAAAUCAAUAGAGGUGAAACCUGGAAAUAAACAUUUUAUUCAAAAAACAUACCAAAGCGAAGCAAAUCCAUUUUCAACUCGAAAAACAUUUUCAUAAAAAUAUUUUUAUUUUGAAUAUUUUUUUUACUUUUAAAGUUUCAAGCUCAGCACGUUUAUUUUCAGUUUUAUUUUUUCAAGUAUGAGUUUUGUUUUUUCAAGUGCAAAACGUUGACCCCAAUCUACCUCCAUAAGCAUCUGGAUGAUAACGCAGUUUUUCCGAUGGUAAGUGGACAAAACUUUUACAUGAAUUUACAUUUUUAAGUAGAAUGAAACAUAUUUCUGCAUGCGUGUUGUCUAAUUUCUUUUUCUUCAGGCGCAAAUCUUCAACUUGAGCCGAAGUUGGUCGACUUUCCGUGCGUUUUAAAGUGGAAUCGCUGAGCAUUCGCCCAAGACAUGCAAUACUUUGGAUUUAUCUCCUGUCAUCUGCCGCUUUUGUCCACUAGAUGGUGCUAAAGGACCGAGUGCAUGCUUCGAUUUUAUGAAGCAGAGUCCCUUUCUGUCAAGUUUGGAAAGCUGAUGUAAAGACAGACUUGGAAAGUCCAAAUACUGAACUGUUUCUUGUUCUAGGUGGUGCAGCGCCGCUUCUGCUGUCGGGGACUCAGCCACCACGACCCUCAACCUGCUGGACAAAGAACAAAUUCUUCAAAACAACGUAGAAGGUCUUCAGAGCUGGCUCCAUUUUUAAUGUUAGAUGUGCAAAUAAACUUACUAAAUAGCAGCUUGUUCAGGUGUGCCCAUCCCGUAGAGUCUUUUUAGGAGCUCGGCCUGCUGUUAUUCGCCGGAUGUUCAAGUGAAUCAACGACCAGUUGCUUAAAAUAAAAAUAAAGUCAACCAAAAACAAG